UGGAUCUCGACAGGGUUGAUAUGAGAACACAUUUGCAAUCAACGGCUGUAAUGACGAUCAUGUAAUUGUUACAUCUCUCGUUUUCAUGUGUUCUCAGGUCACCCCUGCUGAGCUCUU
rnacentral:pre_miRNA from 1 species